rnacentral:rRNA from 1 species
AGGACGAACGCUGGCGGCGUGCUUAACACAUGCAAGUCGAGCGACGAUGCCCUUUCGGGGGUAAACGGAGCGGCGAACGGGUGAGUAACGCGUGGGCAACCUGCCCUCAGCUCUGGGAUAACUCCGGGAAACCGGGGCUAAUACCGGAUACGACCUCCCUUGGCAUCUGGGGUGGUGGAAAGUUUUUUCGGCUGAGGAUGGGCCCGCGGCCUAUCAGCUUGUUGGUGGGGUAAUGGCCUACCAAGGCGACGACGGGUAG